rnacentral:rRNA from 1 species
UACGAAGGGGGCUAGCGUUGCUCGGAAUCACUGGGCGUAAAGGGCGCGUAGGCGGCCUGCUAAGUCGAACGUGAAAUCCCCGGGCUCAACCCGGGAACUGCGUCCGAUACUGGUGGGCUUGAAUCCGGGAGAGGGAUGUGGAAUUCCAGGUGUAGCGGUGAAAUGCGUAGAUAUCUGGAGGAACACCGGUGGCGAAGGCGGCAUCCUGGACCGGUAUUGACGCUGAGGCGCGAAAGCCAGGGGGAGCAAACGGGG